UAAUACUUAGGGUGCGAGCGUUAAUCGGAAUUACUGGGCGUAAAGCGAGUGUAGGCGGCUGCGUAAGUCGGAUGUGAAAGCCCUGGGCUUAACCUGGGAAUUGCAUUCGAAACUGCGUAGCUAGAGUUUGGUAGAGGUAAGUGGAAUUCAGGGUGCAGCGGUGAAAUGCGUAGAUAUCCUGAGGAACAUCAGUGGCGAAGGCGGCUUACUGGACCAAAACUGACGCUGAGGCUCGAAAGCGUGGGGAGCAAACAGGAUUAGAUACCCUGGUAGUCCACGCCCUAAACGAUGUCAACUAGACGUUGGGUUCAUUAAGGAACUUAGUGUCGUAGCUAACGCGUUAAGUUGACCGCCUGGGGAGUACGGCCGCAAGGUUG
rnacentral:rRNA from 1 species